AGAGCGAACGCUGGCGGCAGGCCUAAUACAUGCAAGUCGAACGGACCCUUCGGGGUUAGUGGCGGACGGGUGAGUAACACGUGGGAACGUGCCCUUUGGUUCGGAACAACUCAGGGAAACUUGAGCUAAUACCGGAUGUGCCCUUCGGGGGAAAGAUUUAUCGCCAUUGGAGCGGCCCGCGUCUGAUUAGCUAGUUGGUGAGGUAAAGGCUCACCAAGGCUACGAUCAGUAGCUGGUCUGAGAGGAUGAUCAGCCACACUGGGACUGAGACACGGCCCAGACUCCUACGGGAGGCAGCAGUAGGGAAUCUUGCGCAAUGGGCGAAAGCCUGACGCAGCCAUGCCGCGUGAAUGAUGAAGGUCUUAGGAUUGUAAAAUUCUUUCAGCGGGGACGAUAAUGACGGUACCGCAGAAGAAGCCCGGCUAACUUCGUGCCAGCAGCCGC
rnacentral:rRNA from 1 species